AUCGCUUCUCGGCCUUUUGGCUAAGAUCAAGUGUAGUAUGUGCAUCUGUGCAUAUACCUGCAGGUGAAUUUGGCAGCUGAAGACUUCAGAUCUGUAGAAUCAAUCUAUGGAGCUAUAUGGGCCAUUGUGAGCCUCCUGACAUGGACCCUAGGAAGUGCACUGUAAAAACACUGUGUGCUAUUACUCA
ensembl:snRNA LOC120098018 U2 spliceosomal RNA